rnacentral:tRNA from 1 species
GGUGAAUUAGCUCAGUUGGUAGAGCGCCGCACUGUUAAUGCGAUUGUCAUUGGUUCGAAUCCAAUAUUUACCG